UACGUAGGGUGCAAGCGUUAAUCGGAAUUACUGGGCGUAAAGCGUGCGCAGGCGGUUUUGUAAGACUGUCGUGAAAGCCCCGGGCUCAACCUGGGAAUUGCGAUGGAGACUGCAAGGCUUGAAUCUGGCAGAGGGGGGUAGAAUUCCACGUGUAGCAGUGAAAUGCGUAGAGAUCGGGUGGAACACCAGCGGCGAAGGCGGCAUCCUGGCCCUGUACUGACGCUGAGGCGCGAUAGCGUGGGGAGCAAACGGG
rnacentral:rRNA from 1 species